GGCUGGGAGGUCAUCCCAGACAUGGCGUCCACGGCCACAUCCACCACGUCGGCGCCGGCGUUGGCGGCCGCCAGGAGGGUGGCGAUGGCAGCCCCGGCCGUGUCGUGGGUGUGGACGUGGAUGGGGACGUCGGGGAAGCGAUCCCUCAAAGAGCCCACCAGCAAACGGGCGGCCGCCGGGGUCAGCAGCCCCGCCAUGUCCUUAAUGCACAGGAUGUGGGUGCCAGCAGCCACC
rnacentral:lncRNA from 1 species